UUCAUCACUGCAAGUCUAUUAUAGGAUUAGUCAGGACACUGUUGGGUUUCUGUGUGUAGAGUAUCAUGUCUCUGGGACAGUAUGUACUGCAUUCAAUUCAGUACUUACUUCUCAGCCACUGAUACAGUAUAUGUGUGUAUAUGAAUUUUUUCUUGUUUAAACCUUCAACAAGUUAACAGUCUAUUCAGGUGUUGUUAAACAAGUACGGUUUAACCACAAGGAACAAGGAACAACUUUUAGUAACUUUCGCACUUACACUUUAAAAGAGCCGACACGCUGCAUUCCUCCAUUUUUGAUUCUGACGGCUCUUCCGUGCCAGUCCCAUUGCAUUAUGAGAUAGCGCAGUGUGCAUUGGAUCCAUACUGGGUUAUUAGCAAGCAGCCUCUGUGUUCAGCUGCUGGUGAGAAGGGUGAUGGGAAAGGGUAGGGGUAAGAGCCCCAUGCUGGGCAAAGAAUUCACAGCUCUCCACGAUAAGAUUGGUACAGAGAUAAAACCGACCUCACAACUAAAGCUUUUUUCAUAGUAAAACCUCAUAUACAACCACCACAAUAUACUUCUAAAUUUUAAAUGUAGUAGGUCAGGUAAAAAAAGAAAUACUGCUGAAAAACUGCAAAUUCUUAGAUGCCCGAGUGUCUACUUUCAUAUGAUCCAUUAACCACUACUGUGGAGUGUGACACACAUAGGUUCAAUGCUGGCAUCCCGCUGGCAUCCCACUGGCACCCAAAACAUGCAGAAAUUCCCAUUUUUUGGCCUCUGGUAAAAAAAAAAAAAAAAGAAAGAAAAAAGGAAAAAAAAGAAUUAACAUAAUGCAUUGGAACUGUCAUAUAAUAUUUCAGGGGAAUCAAAUUCAAAAUUUGUGAGUACCAGAUUUUCUUUGUUGAUGUAGUCUCACAGACAGACAUGUAACUAUGAUCCAGGGGAUAGGAAUACAAACAGAUGCAGGAAAGAGAGAGUUUCCCAUCAGGAAACAGGCACAGGAUGCAGAGCGGAGUUUGGGCCUGGCACAACCAUGUGUACACGUACACACACACACACACACACAAAAGUAUAUACAAGAUACAAGAGUACACAUUCCAUUCCCAACAGACAAACCCAGUUAACAUCCCUCAUCAGGGUAAAAUGUUUUGGCUUGUACACAUGCAGUCUAUUUGUAUACAGUACAUUACAUAACUGCUCGACAGUCAAAAAAGAGUCAAAACCCAGGCAAGCUUGAAAUUACACAUUUAGGAACUUGAGAGGGUUUGCACACUGGCAUGACCUUAAAGAGUUUCUGUGGCUUGGUGUUCUGAAAAAAAGGAACGCUCCACCAAGUCCCAGCUUAGGACACAAAUUGCAGGAGGAUAUGAGUUUGAUCUUGGUGAGAAUUUCAUCUUUCUUUGUAAGUGCCAUUUUCUGGCAGGCUGUUGAAGCCAGGCUGCAUAAACAUGCUCACCAGAACCGCACAGUUACAUAACAGAGAAGUCACAAACCAGCUUUCAUAUUGUGUGGCUGUGUGUGUGUGUGUGUGUGUGUGUGUGUAGAAAUUAGUUUUCUCUACGGUGGUCUGUUAUGUAUCAUGUCAGUUAUAUUUCCCACAGCAUUCAGUACACUAAUAAACUGCCAGAUUAAAUCUAAAAUUGCUGGAAAUCCUUAAACAAAAUCUCUGCGAUAACUGCAAUUUUGUUGGAUAAUGUAGAUUGAAAAACUCUAAAUUGGCAAGACAAGUAAUUGAGGCAUUGGGUGUCAUGUGCAAUGUAUAUUUUCAUGCGCAGAAUAAAUUAAUGCUAUGCAAAAAACCCACAAAAAUCUGUUUCAUUUUGUGAACUGAACUGACAGAUUCAUUUUUUUAACAAAAGGAAAUCAUUUUGUGGAGGAAAUGUUCUUAGGGCUGCGAAUACUUUUAAUGUGUCACUGAAUAAUGUCUCUGGGGUCACGUCAUGCUAUGAAAAACUCGUUUUAAACUAUAUUUGUGUUUG
ensembl:lncRNA